GUGAACGAACUCAGGAAGCUGAGGGAGGAAGAUUAGAUACAAGCACAAGAUUUCUAUGGGAGAAGGACCAGCGAACAUCCGUCAGGGCGAUGCUCUCCUUCAUCUUCUGUGGGGUGACAGAACUUUCACUGGACUGCAGCUCAUGCCUCUGCUGGUCGUGGCCAUUCUGGUGCAGAUAGCCACCGUCCAGGGGGUGCGCUCCCAACGCCGGCUGUAGCGCAUUUACUCCCGGGUUGCAGGG